UUUUAAUUAAAAAUUAUUUGUUGAUAGAAACCUACAAGAAAGCGGAACUUCUUCUGGAGGAAAUCAAGAAACAUGGGAAUGAGUAUGCCUUUUCAACAGAUACAGAAGCAGAUUUUGCUGACAAGGCAGUUAGACUUAGCAAAGAAAUCUUGAAGUUAGAUUUAAAGAAGAUGGAACAACAGAUUAAAGAAAAGAUGGAUCCGUCAUCAGCAAUGUCAUCAAAGUCUGUCAACUCACAAGAUGCAUUCGAACGGGGUCUGGGAAUGAUGGAUUGGCCCUCUCUCGAGUUGACAGAGGAGAAUUUGUAUUCUCCAAUAAUCCUUGAGCAGGACAUCACCGAACAGACUAGUGGGCAGCCACAGGGGGCUGAAGUUCCUGAUAAUACCCCGAAGGAACCAUCUCAGAAGAAAAGGAAGCUAGAGAAGCAAUUUUGCUGUAAUCAUCCUG